rnacentral:lncRNA from 1 species
CAUUAAGGCCCAAUGGGCUUCGAACGUCAAGCCCAUUGAAUUAAGUUGUAUGACAACUUAAUGAAUAAUGAUUCACAAAUGCCCAAUUAGCCCAAUAAUACCCUAAGGCCGGCCAUUUAGAGAUGGAGUGAGUUUUGGACUGAUUUACAAGUUUGCCACUCCAAUGAAUUAAGGUAUAAAUAUGACUUUAUAGCCAAAAUUCAUUUAGGAUUUUCUUUUGGGGAAAGGAGGAGAACAUAAGCUCUCCUUUCUCUCUAAAGUGGCCGGCCUCCUUGGAGGGUUUAGCUAGCAAUCCUAC